UGUAGCUUAGUGGUAGAGUGCUUGUCUGGCAUGCAGGAAACUCUGGGUUUGAUCCCUAGCA
rnacentral:tRNA from 1 species